rfam:Heterocephalus glaber contig272665, whole genome shotgun sequence.
UGCUCUGAUGAUAUCUAAUAGGAAGUGCCGUCAGAAGCGAUAACUGACGAUAACUACUCCUGGCUGACU